rnacentral:rRNA from 1 species
UACAGAGGUCUCAAUCGUUGUUCGGAUUCAUUGGGCGUAAAGGGUGCGUAGGUGGCGCCGUAAGUCGGGUGUGAAAUCUCGGGGCUUAACUCCGAAACUGCAUUCGAUACUGCGGUGCUUGAGGACUGGAGAGGAGACUGGAAUUCAUGGUGUAGCAGUGAAAUGCGUAGAGAUCAUGAGGAAGACCAGUGGCGAAGGCGGGUCUCUGGACAGUUCCUGACACUGAGGCACGAAGGCCAGGGGAGCAAACGGG